rnacentral:rRNA from 1 species
AUGCAAGCGUCAUUGCAGCUUGGCCUCUGCCUCAUAUUGCUUGCAGCACAGUAUGGCCCUGGAAGUGCGGUUCCUAGUUCACACUGCCGAAGGCAGUGUGCGAAUGUCGAGAUACCAUACCCAUUUGGUAUAGACCCAGGCUGUUCGCUCGGAGAUGGCUUCCACCUCGACUGCAAGGUCCACGAUGGCAAAGAGAAGAGAUUCAGGACUGCCUUUGAGGUCCUCGACAUCUCCUUGAAGCAAGGGACAACUCGAGUGCUCAAUUUCAUUGUGGGGUACUGCUACAACACCUCCACCGGGAGCAUGGAGUAUUUUGGCCGAUACGGGGGGUUCAAUGAAGGCUUUUCUUCUCCAUACCGCCUCUCCGAUGUCCAGAACAGAUUCACGGUCAUCGGCUGCAAUGCCAUGUCCUCUAUCUCGGACCGUGAAGGCACAGGCUACGAAGGGGCCGCGACGUGCCGCAACCAGUCGGACCUAGUUGAUGGAUCUUGCUCCGAUAUCGGAUGCUCCCAGACGACGAUACCGAAGAGGAUGUACUUCUACGCAACAACCUUUUUUAGCUCGGACAACAAUAGUCAGAUAUGGAAGUUCAAUCGGUGCAGUUAUGCAGUGUUGAUGGAAACAACGUCAUUCAGGUUCAGCACUAAGUACAUAACCACCAACAAGUUCAAUGGCACAAAUGAUGGGCGGGUACCUGUGGUGCUUGACUGGGCUGUGAGAGAUAUCAAGUCAUGUGAUGUUGCAAAACAGAAUAAGACUGGCACUUAUGCAUGCCUCAGUAGCAAUAGCAAGUGUGUGAAUUCCAGCAAUGACCAAGGGUACAUGUGCAAUUGCACCAAUGUCUAUGAAGGCAACCCUUAUCUUCCUGGUGGAUGCAAAGGACUUACAAUGGGAUUAUUUGGUCUGAUGGUUAUCAUCAUGAUCUCUAUCUUCCGGGGACAAAUGACAAUUCAAAAGAGAAAAUUGAAUAAAGUUAAGCAGGAGUAUUUUCGCGAGCAUGGAGGCUUGCUUUUGUUUGAUAGGAUGAGAUCAGAGAAAGGUCUUGCUUUCAAUGUAUUUUCAGAAGCUGAACUCAGACAUGCCACUGAUAACUUUGACAUUAGUAGAAUACUUGGAAAAGGAGGCCAUGGAACAGUCUAUAAAGGGAUAAUAAGGAGCAAUAUGCGAGUUGCAGUUAGAAGAUGUGGAAUAGUUGAUGAAUGGCAGAAGAAGGAAUUUGGGAAAGAGAUGCUCAUUUUAUCGCAAAUCAAUCACAAGAACGUUGCUGAACUCUUGGGUUGCUGCCUUGAGGUGGAAGUUCCUAUUCUAGUCUAUGAGUUUGUCCGAAAUGGUACAUUGUUUGAGCUUAUCCAUGGCAGGAAACAGGCAUUGCAAAUUUCCUUCAGCACUCUCUUAAGGAUCGCUCAUGAAGCAGCAGAAUGUCUCAGCUUCCUACAUUCAUAUGCGUCACUCCCAAUUAUUCAUGGUGAUGUGAAAACUUCCAACAUCUUGCUUGAUGAUAACUAUAUGGCCAAAGUGUCAGACUUUGGAGCCUCUAUAUUAUCCCCGUCUGACAAAGAGCAGUUUGUUAUAAUGGUUCAAGGUACAUGUGGCUGCCUUGAUCCUGAAUACAUGCAAACAUGCCAGUUAACGGACAAAAGCGACGUGUACAGUUUUGGACUUAUCCUUUUAGAGAUCCUCACCGGCCAGUUGCCACUAAAGCUCGAGGGGACUGAGAAGCCAAGAAGCUUGUCAUUGAUUUUCCUUUCUGCUAUGAAGGAGAAUAAUAUAGAAGAUGUGUUGGUGAGCCAAGUGAAAGGCCAAGCAAGUAGGGAGUUGCUGAGAGGACUUGUAGACCUGGCUAAGAAAUGCCUAGAAAUGUGUGGUGAUAACAGGCCAUCCAUGAAAAAUGUCGCGGAUGAGCUAAAUAGAUUGAGAAAACUUUCACUACAUCAUUGGGUACAACUCGAGAUGGAGAUGGACGAAGAAAAUCUUCUUGGGGGAGAAUCUACUAGUGGUUAUGAAAUAGAAUAA